rnacentral:rRNA from 1 species
AUUGAACGCUGGCGGCAUGCCUUACACAUGCAAGUCGAACGGUAACGGGCCUUCGGGUGCCGACGAGUGGCGAACGGGUGAGUAAUGUAUCGGAACGUACCUUUCAGUGGGGGAUAACGUAGCGAAAGUUACGCUAAUACCGCAUAUUCUGUGAGCAGGAAAGCAGGGGAUCGCAAGACCUUGCGCUGAUUGAGCGGCCGAUGUCAGAUUAGCUAGUUGGUGAGGUAAAGGCUCACCAAGGCGACGAUCUGUAGCGGGUCUGAGAGGAUGAUCCGCCACACUGGGACUGAGACACGGCCCAGACUCCUACGGGAGGCAGCAGUGGGGAAUUUUGGACAAUGGGGGCAACCCUGAUCCAGCCAUGCCGCGUGAGUGAAGAAGGCCUUCGGGUUGUAAAGCUCUUUCGGCCGGGAAGAAAUCGCACAGGCUAAUACCUUGUGUGGAUGACGGUACCGGAAUAAGAAGCACCGGCUAACUACGUGCCAGCAGCCGCCGCAG